AACACUUGCGCUCUAUGAGGCUCGUGGGAGUCUCGCAGACGAUCAGUGAACCGAAGACGAGGAUAACGGCGGGGAUUGCGGCUCCACCGAGGGCGAUUCGCCAUCCGUUAGGGUGAACGGUGGCAGUGAAGUAGUUGACAAGGUUGGCUAUUAGGAUUCCAAUUGUGACCAUGAGUUGGAAUACAAUGUUGAGACCUCCCCUGAGCUGUGCAGGAGAAAUUCUGAUAGAAAAAGAGGCACUGCCUGAGAAUUUAAGGUACACACAAUAAUGUUAGGUCAUUUCUAGAGAUCUGCCAGGCAUAACCAUUUUUUUAAGAACUAGUAUAAAAGGAAGGAAGGUUGAAGAAAACAUACAUGCACUACUCCUUCCCACAAUAUUGUUUUGCCCUUGUCUACACAUCAUUGUUGAUAGAGAGCUUCUUGAUCAUCAUGUAAAUAUGGCAUGAAUAUAUACUGUAUAUAUAUAUAUAUACUUGAUCAUUAAACACACAGAGAAUAAAAAAAGGCAUCAUCUGAAAUCACCAGUCGAAAAAUGUCUAUUUGGUUUGUGGAACUGAUUUAAUUCCUAAUUUUAGAUGCUCUGCGUUACAACCUAACACAAUCAAAAGUUUAUUCACGAAAUCUGCAGAAAAAGAAAAAAAAAAGUCUCAGUACAAGAAAUUAUGAUAUAGCAAAAAUACUGUGAUAAGUUCAUGAUUAAUGCCUUUACCCGCUUCUUUCCGUCACUGCAUCAUUUGCCUCCACAUUCACCAGCCUCAUAUUGCAUUCAUCGGCUUCAAAAACAUGUGGUAGAAUGUUUGGAUAACUAAGUCGGUUGUCUGCCGAUGAACAGUCCUCCUCUAAGAUUCGUAUACCCCAUCCUUUUAUUUUAGCAUGAUUACAAUCAACAAUAUGAAUCUUCAGAUCCAGGCCAUCGAAGUUCAUUUCUAAAGGGAUUUGAGUCAUCUGGUAGUCUAAUACAAACAGACAACUAUCCUCCUCAAAUGAAAAGAUCUUAUAAUCCUCCGUGACUGCGCAGAAGUCUUGUGCCUGAUUAUAGGAAUCAGAGCAGUUCCGAAAACUGCCUUUGAAUCUAAAGGCACAACUGCGAUAUGACUCUUUGUCCGAAUCAAACACAAUGCAAGCCCUGAAUCGGAGGAAUGGUUGCGUGAGAGAGCUGUGAAGUAGAGGAAUGGUGAGAGAGGAGGAGGUUCCAGUAGUACGGUGCGUGAAAUAUGAAGGCACUUCUUCACCUGACAACUUCAGUUGACAACCGAAAUAUGUUUUCUUUUGAAACAGAGCUUCUUGAACCAAGUUUAAGCACUUGGUGAAAUCGAUACCAAUGUCGAAACUGUGGUAAUAACUCAAGGCACUUUCUCUUGGAUGAUUAUUCCAGCUAGCUCCAGUCAAUGACUUGCAGUCUGAAAUGUUUAGGUUUACAUAUUCCAAAUUGUUGCAUCCCUUCAUCUGUAGGGAGUUAAGCCUGGAGAAUUUCUCAAUCCAACAAGGAACCUCUUCAAUCCCUGUUUCGCUUAGAUCGAGCUCUUGGAUGUUAGUUGAGAUUUGAGGAAAAGUCCUCAACCGUGAGCAUCCACUGAGAUCUACUCUCGAGAGAGAUCCGAGGUUGAUUCCGGUGGGAAGAGUUUCCAGAUUUACGCAGUUUCUAAUUUUCAAUCUCGACAGGUUAUGGAGAUUCUUAAAUGAAGAAGGAAGCUCCACCAAACCAGGGUUAUCCGAGAGAUCCAGAUGCCACAAAGAGGGAGACAGAUACACAAAAUCAUAUUCAGCGCUACUCUUCUUCCCUCCGAUAAAUACAAUAUAACCUUAGUUUCAUUUGCACCAUUAUCUAAUAUCUAUAACGUAAAAUAGAUUGGAGAAACACACGAAGUUUGGAACUACAUACAUACCUGCACUCUUUCCCAUAGUUUCUUUGGGCUGUGCAUCGUAAAGGUAUGGAGAUUCUCGAAACACAAACUCAAAUUUGAACGUAUUUCUUCAAUGAAUGUUGCGUCUAUGUCGACAUCUUCGAUGGUGCUUGAGAUUUGGGGAAAAGUCCUCAUCCGUGAGCAUCCUUUAGUAUUUAGGUCUUUGAGAGAUUUGAGGCUAAUGCCAGUUGGAAUAGUCUCCACAUUUCGACAAUUUCUCAGGUCUAAUUUCUUCAGUUUGUUGGGAUGUGGAAUGGAGGAAGGAAGCUUGACCAAACUAUAGCAUUUCCGAAGUUUAAGUGUCUCCAGAUUGGUGGCCUUUGAAAGAUCUGGCAUUUCUAUCAAGUUUGUAGAUCCCCACAUAUCCAUCUCUUUAAGACAUGUAAGCGACUGUACUCAACAAAAAAAAAAAGGAACAGAACACAUGAGCUCAGUAGAACAAUAUUGUCAUCCAAAAAAUAAAAUAAAGAUUAGUCUUACUACAAAUAACAUCACAAACUAUUCUCAAAACUUACCACAAUCCCUUCCCACAGCUUCUCGAGCUUGCUAUUCACCAUUUUGAGCUUGACGAGUUUUUCAGGACGAAACUUAGAAGGCAGACAUCUCAUUGGAUAUCCAAACCAAUCCAAUAUUUUAAGUUUUGGAGGCAAAUAGUCGAAGUUUUCAGGUAAGUGAAUUGUAACUUCUUCGUUUCCAAUCUCAUAACGCUUUUUUGAGUGAAUUUCCAGGAAACGCAGAUUGCGCAUCCCUUUGAAGGCAUUCUCAUGCACAUUCAGUUCAUCAAUCUCAUCAAUAUUCAAUUUUAUACCCAAUAUCUUAUGAGUACCCUGAAAAUUAUAUAAUAUCAAGUAUUAGUUUUGCUUAUAAAAUGGCAUGCUCUAAAUCUUAUUUAUUGACUGAAAGGAGCACGAACAUAAGAGAUAACUUACAGUGUCUUGACUGAGUACAUCACAGAUAUCUUGUGCGUCCACCAGAAAUUCUCGUUUUUCAGGCUCCUCAAGCCUAACAAUACCUCUACCCAUCUCUUCUAACAAACGGUGCAUCUUCACAUAAUCCUCUCUUACAUGAAUGAGGGACUUAUCAGCUAGGUUUUCCAGCCCAACCGUAACACUCAACCCACUAUCAGCGAGCAGCAACUUCAGGUAUGUGACUUUUUCCCACUGGAAAAGGCAUGCAAUAUGGCGAAAUAACGCUUUAUCUUCUUCGCUUGUUAAUCCAUCGUAGCUGACUCUCAAUGUCUUCUCAAUUUUCCCAUCUAAACCAUUCUGAAGCCUUGGCAACAAAUCCAUCCAGUACUCCUUGUCCCUUCCCCGUAGAGAUGAACCCAAAACAUUAAGACCUAAAGGAAGACUACCAGCAAGUCCUGUAACUUUAGCUACAAGCUCCUCAAAACCUUCAGGUGCAGCCUUUUUCCUGAAAGCAGAUCGACAUAACAUCUCAACAGCUAGCUCUUCAGUUGGGAGAUAGACCUCGUAAAUGUGAUUAAUCCCAUGGGCCCUUAGAUACUGCUUAUCAUUUGUAACCACAACGAUUCUGCUCCCACUUCCAAACCAUUGAGUUUGACCAACCAAGGCUUCUAGCACAACUUGAUCAUCAAAAUCAUCAAUGAAAAUAAGAACUUUCUGAUUCUUCAGCCUCUCCCCAACUGCACUCAAAUGAUUUAUCUUUAUGUCUCCUUUACCUAAGAUUUCAGAUAGGAAAUUUCUUUGCAAAUGCAGCUUCAUGUUAUAGUCGUCCGGAUUAGCUUCCUUGAAAAUUUCCAUAGUCUUAGAUACGAAAGCCCUGUCUAUGAAAAUGCUACCUCGGAAGUGUUGAGAAAGUCGUUGAAACAGAACUCUUGCAAUUGUAGUCUUGCCGAUCCCUGAGGAACCCCAUAAACCAACCAUCCUCACUUCCUCCGCGUCCAACUGCAGCAAUACACUCAGUUUUGCAACAUGAUCUUCGAUGCCCACAAAGUUCUCUGAAUCCUUCGAUGAAGUUAAAAGUAGUUUAUCCAAAACAUCAUUGGCGAUUUCUUCAAUCAUUGCAGCUUCGUUACCCCUAACAAUAAGAAAGAUAAUAUCACCCCCUAGCAACCAGAAGUCUAACCUUUAUUCAAAAGAAUGAAUGAUGCAUAAAACCGUACCAGUUUACUGAAUGAUACCCGAGAGUAUUGGCUACAUCGGUCAAAGCUCUCCUCCAUUGAAUUAUUAUCACUUCCUCUGUUUGAUUCUUGCAUGUUUCUUCAAAUAUUUUCCCGAAGUCACCGGUUUGUUUCCUCACGUGGGAAGGAUCCAACCGGUAGAAAACAGGUAUCACCAUUUGACCACACUUGACUAUCUCUAACAACUCAUUAAGACACCAGCUUGAAGAGGCAUAGUUUUGGGAGAAGAUAACCACCGCGAUCCUCGAAUCUUUAAUGGCUUGUUUAAGCUCGGGAUCCAGUGAUCGACUUCUCUCGAUCUCGUUGUCUUUGAAAGCAGUGAUCAACUUUUUGUCAAACUCCUUCAACAAGUGGCUGAGGAAAGUAACACGGACGUCUACCCCACUGAAGCUAGGGAAAACAUCGUACAACCAAGUGCGAGAAGAGGAAGGAGAAGAAGCUAAUGAGAGAGCCAUAGAGAUAGGAGCAAAAAUAAUAUGAAGGAAAAGAAGGACUUGGUGAUUGAUCUUCUGAAGAAUGUUAGUCCAUAUAAAUUGUCAGAUUGGAGUGUAGCGCAACUUGAAGGAAGUUUCCUAUUUGUUGACUUAGUUACGUCCACACAGGUUUCGCUUAUCUUUACAUUAUUGUAUCUGUACUGUUUCUAGUACAACUUUUAUUUGCCGUGACUUUUUUCAGUAUAACAUUUAUCGACAGUCAAUUCUUACAAUGUAACUGUUUUUUCUCUUCUUCUGUGUUCUUCUGCUUGGUGCUCCAAGACUUUCUGGCUGCAUUUACUUACAAUCUAUACUAUUAAACCAGAAUCCUUCUUAGGAUUAUGCCCCUGACUUUUUAAAAAUAUUACAAAACAUACCAUUACUUUUUUUAAUAUCUUUAAUGAUCUACAGAAAUUUAAAGCCCAUUCGAUAGGUCCAAAUUGAACCAUUGUUAACCCAUUAGGCCAUUUUGUUUAAAAUAUAUUUAGUGAAAAUCAUUAAAAAGAUUGUUUUAUUUUUAUACAGAGAUUAUACAUUUAAGAGAUAAACAAAUAUAUUAAUCCAUUAUGCCAAUUUGUGUAAAAUAUCUAUACUUCAAAUCAUAAAAAGCCUGUUUUAUUUUUAUUGAGAUUAUACAUUUAAGAAAUAAACAAAUUAAUAUACGUGAUAUAUUUAAAAAUUAAACAAACAACGGAUUUGUAGUCCUAUAUGUAUAAACACAAUUUUAAUAAUAACAAAUAAAUUACAUUACAAUUUUUUUUGACAUAUUACAUUACAAUUUAUAAAAAUAAAAACCAUAUUAGAUAAUAAACUAUUCAAACACAUACUCGCACUAAUUAAAAUUACAAUUUAUAAAAAUAAAACCAUAUUAGAUAAUAAAAUAUUGAAACACAUCCUUAUCUAAUUAGAAAUAAUAUUAAAAUUGAAAAAUGCCAUUUUAAUAGAUAGAAUACCCGCCCUCUGAAAGGGCGGGUCAGUAUCUAGUUAUUUAUUAAGAUGUAUGCAACUAAAUGUUCAUUCUUAUGCUCACGAGUAUGCUGAAGAGAGGUUUCUAAAGGCUACUGAAGAAUUUUCUUUUAUAACUGUACAGUGGUUUUACAACCAAUACUGAAGAAUAUUAGCUCUGUUCUUUUGCGGGAUGCUGCAUCACGGCUAGCGACUAAAAUUUAACAUACAAAUUUUUGGCUUCCAUUGGUGACCAUGCCGAAAGAAAAAAAUUUAUGGUAAAUUUUUUGUUCCUCAAAAUUUAUACGAGUUAAAGUUGAAUUUUUUAAUCAAAUUAUUAAUAGGUAAGUCUCAUACUUUUUUUUUAAUUCUUCAAAGAUGAAUGAAAGAUGAAUGAAUUUAUAAAAAAAGAUUCCUCUUCAAUUUUGACGAGGAACAAAAUAAACAGAAAUUCAUAUUUUUUAUUUUUUAAUUCUUCAAAUGAAAUUUUAUUUUUUUAUUUUGUUUAUUUUUUUCAUUCAUCUAGUGGUCACCAAUCGAAGCCUUUAUAUGACGAAUGUUGAAUGUCAUUCUAGUGUCUAUUCUGUUUUUUUAAAAAACUUUUUAGUCUUUUACGGAUAACAACAUAGUAUAUAUAUGUUUUUUUUCUAACAUAAAUAUCACCUGAUAUAGAUGUGUAUACCCGCAUGCGUGGGUGAAACACUAGUUCUUUUAAAACAGAUAAUUUUUUUUCAAAAACUUGGGUUUUACUACAAGAACAUAUAAUUAUUUAAAAGAUAAAUUAUUUUUAAAACAUAUGGUUCUAUUACAAAAAAAAAAACAUAAAAUUAUAGUAUAAACAUAUGAUUAUAUUUUUGACAAAAUAAACAUAAGUUUCUACUACAGAACAUAGAAUUUUACUAAACGAACAUAGAACCCAAUUUAGAAAACAUAGAAUUCUGUUACAAAAACAUAUAACUCAAUUUCAAAAAUUUAGAUUUUUUUUGAAAGAAUGUUAAAUUUAUUCAAACAAAAAAAACCCAUUUGUACAAUGAAUCAUGAAUGUAUAUCCAGAGCUUAUUGUUUAUAACUAUAACUGAAAAAAAAAAAUAGAAUUCAAGAUAAGUAAUUUUUGUUGACUUCCACUGAUAAAACAUCUAACCUGAAUCAACAAGUUGGUCUUAUUCUGUUCCCGCAAAACAAAAGAAGUAACCAACAUCAACAAGAAAAAGGAAAAGCAAACACACUGAUCAACAAAGACUUAUGAUAUCAUUCAGUUCUCUUCUCCACAUCUUGAUGAUCAUCCUCAGCAAGCAUAUACCUUUUCCAGAACCAGUGUGGCUUCCACACUCUCUCCCUCACAUCAUCAAUGGCCACACCUUUAGUCUCCGGUAUAAAGAACAAAGCAAACAGUCCCAUCACAAUGAUCCAAGCGCUGAAGAAGAAGAAUAUUCCUGAUCUCAUCCCACAAAGCAUCGACAAGAAAGCCUGCGCGAUCACGAAGGUGAAUAACAUGUUGCACGAGACUGCAACAGCGAACCCUGCACUUCGAGUUUCUAGAGGAAACGUCUCGCUAGGAAUUAGCCAUCCUAAUGGUCCCCAUGACCACGCGAAUCCCAUCACGUAAGCGCACACAAAGACCACAACCACCAUGGCUUGUGCCUUCCCGAGUGUUCCCGUGAUGCCCAAGUCUUUCGCUAGGAUGAUUCCAAUGAUCAACUGUUAGAAGAGUUUGUUAGUUUUAGAGGAUUACUUGUGGUGCAAGAUACCUACUUCAAGAUGCUUAGAGCAUGUCUAUCAAUUAAAUGUUAAAUCAUAAAAACAAAUUAAACCAAUCAUGAGUUAACACAUUUGUAAAAGAAAAAAGAUUUUUCAAAUGAGAACUCUUUCAGUUCCUUUUUAUACUUUUUAUUCAUUCUUUCUCCAUUUUUUUUCUGCUUUUUGGUUAUUUUUUUAAUGUCUAGAAUCCUUGCUAGACACUAGCAUUAGGUUGCUCUUAGAUACAAUAAACAAAGAAGAUUACUUGUGGAGCAAGAUACCUACUUCAAGAUAGAACUAGAGACAAUAAACAAAGAAGUAGAGAGAUCUAUGUACCGGAAGUUCAAAAAAAGAGAGUGACAUCUAUGUACCUGGGAAAUGAGCAUGUGAACGGAAGAUUGUAAAAGAAGGAACCUCCGACCGGUUCUGUCCACGAGGUAGAUCCCUACGAACGUACUAAGAACGUUGAUGCUUCCCGUGAUAACCGCAGAGAGAAGAGCUGCGUUAUUUCCAAAUCCAACAGUCUGGAACAAAACCGGUGCAUAGAACAUAAUAGCAUUGAUUCCACUAAACUGCUGGAAAAGCUGUAGAAGCAUUCCAAUGAUUAAAGGUGGACGACUCGCUGGUUUCAACAGUUUCCUGUAAGGAUCUUUGACUUGACUCGCAAUCUCGCACGCAUGGACGAUAGAUUCAUACUCAUCAUUUAUAUCUUCAACUCCUCUGAUUUUCCUUAGAGUUUCUCUGCCUUCUUCGUUUUUGUUGCGCUCUAUGAGGCUCGUGGGGGUCUCACAGAUGAUCAGUGAACCCAAGAGGAGGAUAACCGCGGGGAUUGCAGCUCCACCGAGGGCGAUUCGCCAUCCGUUAGGGUGAACGGUGGCAGUGAAGUAGUUGACAAGGUUGGCUAUUAGUAUUCCAAUUGUGACCAUGAGUUGGAAUACAAUGUUGAGACCUCCCCUGAGCUGUGCAGGAGCAAUCUCGGAUAAGAAAAGCGGCAC
rnacentral:lncRNA from 1 species